UACGUAGGGUGCAAGCGUUAAUCGGAAUUACUGGGCGUAAAGCGUGCGCAGGCGGUUUUGUAAGACAGGCGUGAAAUCCCCGGGCUCAACCUGGGAACUGCAAUUGUGACUGCAAGGCUAGAGUACAGCAGAGGGGGAUGGAAUUCCGCGUGUAGCAGUGAAAUGCGUAGAUAUGCGGAGGAACACCAAUGGCGAAGGCAAUCCCCUGGGCCUGUACUGACGCUCAUGCACGAAAGCGUGGGGAGCAAACAGG
rnacentral:rRNA from 1 species